AUUGAACGCUGGCGGCGUGCUUAACACAUGCAAGUCGAUCGGUAACAGGUGUAGCAAUACAUGCUGACGAGAGGCGGACGGGUGAGUAAUGCUUGGGAAUCUGCCUAUUAGUGGGGGACAACCCGGGGAAACUCGGGCUAAUACCGCAUACGCUCUACGGAGGAGAGCCGGGGACCGCAAGGCCUGGCGCUAAUAGAUGAGCCCAAGUCGGAUUAGCUAGUUGGUAGGGAACGGCCUACCAAGGCGACAAUCCGUAGCUGGUCUGAGAGGACGACCAGCCACACCGGAACUGAGACACGGUCCGGACUCCUACGGGAGGCAGCAGUGGGGAAUAUUGGACAAUGGGGCAACCCUGAUCCAGCGACGCCGCGUGGGUGAAGAAGGCCUGCGGGUUGUAAAGCCCUUUC
rnacentral:rRNA from 1 species